GGGGAGGGGCAAGGGGAUCCCGGGGCUCUUUCCUCCUCCUCCCAGCUGUGGGUCCUUCCUGAGGGCCCUAGGGAGGGAAGGAUGCAGAAACCGGGGCCGCGCCCCCCCAGAGCGCUCACAGCUGGCCAGUCACCUGCCAAAGACUUCAUCAUUACGCAUUUGUGCCUCUCAAUCUUGAGAAACACCUCUUAGUUUAGACAAAUGGCAGUAUAAAGAUCUAUUUAAUCCUUUUCACAAGUCAUGUCUGGAGAUAGCUUUAUUUGGAACCUCAUUUUCUGACGUUCCCCUUCCUAAAAGGCUUCUUCCAACCGCAGAAGGGAAUGAAGGGCAAUUUGUUAGCUGCAUCGCCACUUACUCUCUGCGGGGCAUGGUACUAAGGGCUUUACCCCAUUGGCCUGUUUACGGAGGAAAAAAAGGGAAGCUCAGAGGAGAAGUGACUUCCCUCAAGGUCAUCGAGCUGCUGACUGGUAGAAUGGAGAUUCAAACUCAAGGCUGGCUUCAUGCAGGACAGGACCAGCUGGUGAUUCAGCAGUCCUGCUACAGCAAAUCGAGCCCUUUAAAGGAAUCAUGUGUCUUAGCUAUGUAGACAAGACUUUCCCAGCCUAAUUUCUUAUAGAACACAGGAAGGACAGUCCAUGGGUGCCCCUCCCCCCCACACACACACUGGGCUGGGCCCUCCCCCAUCAAUCACGGAUUAAGAAGAUGCUCGACAGCCUGAUCUCACGGAGGUGUUUUCUCAAGCGAGACGAGGUCUCUCACUGGACCUGGAACUUCUGAUUCACUGAGACUGGCUGACCAUUGAGCUGCAGGGAUCUUGUGAUCUGUGUCUCCCAGCUCCAGCUCUGGGCUUUAACAUGGCAUUGGAGUUCCAAACUCAAGCCAGAAGGCAAUUUAUCCUGAGCCAUUGUCUCAGGCUCCUCCUCCUUCUCUUCUUCCCGUUCUCCAGCUUCUUUUCCUUCCUUUCUU